rnacentral:tmRNA from 1 species
GGGGGCGACCUGGCUUCGACGUGGGUUGCGAAACCGGAGGUGCAUGCCGAGGCGCAGACUACCUCGUAAAUCCAGCUGCAAACCAUAUAGUUGCCAACGACGACAACUACGCACUCGCUGCUUAAAACCCAGUAGGGUGCCCUCUGACCGGAUACGUGCCUGUGCGUCCGCAAUCAGGGGUCGACUCUCACAGGAUCGCGACAAGGUUUGUUCGGGGCCGCGUCGCUAAAACCUUACCGGACUCGCCGUCAGUGCGCCCUGCCCGUCGGGUUGCUGCCGGUUAAAUUAAUGGCGUGGCUAAGCAUGUAGAACCAAUGGCAGAGGACUUGCGGACGCGGGUUCGAUUCCCGCCGCCUCCACCA